UACGUAGGUGGCAAGCGUUGUCCGGAAUUACUGGGCGUAAAGCGUGCGUAGGCGGUUCGUUAAGUCUGUUGUGAAAGCCCCGGGCUCAACCUGGGAAUGGCAAUGGAUACUGGCGAGCUAGAGUGUGUCAGAGGAUGGUGGAAUUCCCGGUGUAGCGGUGAAAUGCGUAGAGAUCGGGAGGAACAUCAGUGGCGAAGGCGGCCAUCUGGGACAACACUGACGCUGAGGCACGAAAGCGUGGGGAGCAAACAGG
rnacentral:rRNA from 1 species